rnacentral:snRNA from 1 species
GUGCUUGCUUUGGCUACACAUAUGGUAAAAUUGCAGUGAUACAGAGAAGAUUAGCGUGGCCCCUGCACAUAGAGGAGGACACAGAAAUUUGUGAAAUAGUCUUUU